CCUACGGGAGGCAGCAGUGAGGAAUAUUGGUCAAUGGACGAGAGUCUGAACCAGCCAAGUAGCGUGAAGGAUGACUGCCCUAUGGGUUGUAAACUUCUUUUAUAUGGGAAUAAAAUGUUCCACGUGUGGGAUUUUGUAUGUACCAUAUGAAUAAGGAUCGGCUAACUCCGUGCCAGCAGCCGCGGUAAUAAGGAGGAUCCGAGCGUUAUCCGGAUUUAUUGGGUUUAAAGGGAGCGUAGGUGGAUUGUUAAGUCAGUUGUUAAAGUUUGCGGCUCAACCGUAAAAUUGCAGUUGAAACUGGCAGUCUUGAGUACAGUAGAGGUGUGCGGAAUUCGUGGUGUAGCGGUGAAAUGCUUAGAUAUCACGAAGAACUCCGAUUGCGAAGGCAGCUCACUGGACUGCAACUGAUACUGAGGCUCGAAAGUGUGGGGAUCAAACAGGAUUAGAUACCCGUGUAGUC
rnacentral:rRNA from 1 species